rnacentral:misc_RNA from 1 species
AAAACACCAAAACCCGAGAGCGUUGCUGCUCAAGAUUGUUCUUUUAUUUGCCGGUUGAUUCUCUUUGACUGAAUUUGCAGAAUGUCUCGUCGUCGAAGAGACUCCAGCGAUGAGGAAGACGUUGGUCAUUCUGCAAGAAAGCGCAGAAGGGGAUCAGAGAAUAUAGACAUUGAAGAAAGACUGGAAUCCCUCAUCACCCGAGUAGGAGAAAAGAGUACUUCUUCUCUGGAAAGUAACUUGGAAGGACUAGCAAGUGUGUUGGAGGCAGAUUUGGCGAAUUAUAAAACAAAGAUAAUGAGGAUUUUAUGUUCAUGUGUUGUUAAGCUCCCAGAAAAGAUGGCCGUCUAUACCACUUUAGUUGGACUUCUGAAUGCCAAGAACUAUAACUGUGGUGGAGAAUUUGUAGAAAUGCUAAUCAGAAAUCUAAAGGAAUCCUUGAAGACAGGAGAAUAUGACAAUGCAAAGUUGAUUGUUCGAUUUUUAGCUGAUUGUGUCAACUGUCAUGUAAUUGUAGCUGGUUCCCUCCUCUCCAUGUUCGACAAUUUCAUAGAAGUAACACUGGAAGACAACAUUCCUCAGGUGCGAUCUGAUUGGUAUGUGUAUGCAGUAAUGUCUGCCCUACCCUGGGUUGCUAAAGAACUGCAUGAAAAGAAAGAAGCUGAAUUCAACAAACUCCUAUCAACCAUUGACAACUAUAUCAGCAAGAGACAAAAGAUCCAUGUCCCGGCCCUGAGAGUGUGGACGUCUGAUUUUCCUCACCCCCAGGAGGAGUAUCUGGAUUGCCUCUGGGCCCAAAUCAAGAAUCUGAGGGCCAACAAAUGGUCAGAGAAACAAAUAGUGCGGCCGUACCUGGCCUUUGAUGGAGUGUUAUGUGAGGCUUUGCAGCACACUCUUCCCCAGAUUAUACCCCCCUCACACAACGAGGAAACUACCUACCCCCUCCCCAGGGUCGUCUUUAGGAUGUUUGACUACACAGAUGUACCUGAGGGUCCUGUGUUACCCGGGAGCCACUCCAUUGAGAGAUACUUGAUUGAGGAACAGAUUGACAGGAUACUCCGUACAAACUUUGCAGAGCGCAAGGAUUGUGCUGCAGCAUUACUCAGCUUUCCUUCUAAGAACAAGAUUCCCCUGAAUUACAUGAUUGUAGAGGUGAUGUUUUCUCAGCUGUUUCUGCUGCCAGUGCCCCCCUACCUAGAGAUCUUCUAUGGCUCCCUACUGAUUGAACUCUGUAAACUACAGCCAGGAUCCAUGCCCCAAGUUUUAGCUCAAGCCACAGAAAUGUUGUAUGAGAGAAUUGACACCAUGAAUGUGACUUGUAUUGAGAGAUUUUCUAAUUGGUUUGCCUACCACUUGAGUAACUUCCAGUUCCGCUGGAGCUGGGAUGACUGGUCCACCUGUUGUCAGAUGGACCCAGAGUUACCCAAACCAAAGUUUGUGAAGGAAGUGCUUCUCAAAGCCAUGAGAUUAUCAUACCACCAGAGAAUGGUCGAAACAGUGCCAGAGAGCUUUGAAGCCUUGAUCCCUGAGAAGCCUCACUCUGAGUUCAAGUAUGAGAAGGAGGGGGCGGGGUCCAUGCCGGGGACCAUGGUGGCCCAUCAGCUGAUCUCCGCCAUCAAGUCCAAGUGUACCCCUGAAGAAGCCAUGGUGCUGCUUAAGGAUCUCCCCAACCCUCUGAGUGAGGAAGAGAGUGACCCCACUUACCAUCCACUCAGGAUUGAUGUCUUUGUCUCCGUCUUACUUCAUCUCGGCAACAAAUCUUUCAGUCAUUCAUUUGCAGCCAUAGCCAAAUUCCAUCACAUUUUGAAGCUUCUAGCUGACACAGAGGAGGGACAGAUCUGGUUACUCCGUACAAUGUUUGAGGUCUGGAGCUCACAUCAACAGAUGAUGGUAGUGCUUGUUGAUAAAUUACUGAAGACUCAGAUUGUGGAGCCAUCAGCUGUUGCUAAUUGGUUGUUUUCCAGUGAAAUGCAACCAGAGUUUACAAAGUAUGCUAAAUUUAUACUAAGUUUUACAACUACAAUGUAUUAUCUAAGAGAUACAUGUAUAACAACCUAUGGGUUUUAACAUGAACAUGUACUUUAGAUGUUUACAUCUUCUGGCAGAUUUUAUGUUUGGGAAAUCAUGCAUGCAACAAUCAGGAAGAUGAGUAAGCAAGUUGACAAACUACAACAAGACGUGGAGGAUGCCAAGGAUAAACUGGAUGCAGCCAAGAGAAAGGUUAAAAAAAGAUUAUUUUGAUUUAAACCUCAAUGUUCAGGAAAAAAGGGUAUGUUGAAAAAGUGUCAUUUUAAAGACCAUAAUAUUAAGGGGUGAGGAAAUGGAAGCUCUAAUUUUAUGUUUAACUAGCCCAAAAUACACAGCAUUGUACCAGGUACAUAUUGUUGUAGUACAUGAUAAUUUUCAUAUUCAGGAAACACAGAAUAUUAAAGUUGGUUUACAUUUAUUGCAGCAAGCAGAUGGUUUGAUGGAUGAUGAAGAUGAGGAGAUUCCUACUGAUGACAUCAUAGAGAGAAUGGAAGAGAGGCUUGAGGCAGCUCAGAACCAACAAAAACGCUUGUUCCUGAUCAUAUUUCAGAGAUUCAUAAUGAUUUUGACGGACCAUUUGGCAAAGUGUGAAGGAAAUAGCAUUGAUUACAAUACACCUUGGUACAAAUGGGUAAUUGAACGAUUGCAACAAAUCUUUUUACUGCACCAUGAAUUGGUUUUUAGAUACAUCAGCACCCUAGAGUCUCUUUUAUUUACAAGUGACAUUGACUUUCACAUUUUGGAAAUAUUCCAACAGUUUUGCGCCCUUCGUUCAUAACUUGGCCAUGGUAUCUUUGCAACAAGAAAUGAUGAAUAAUGUGGUUAUUCCUCGAUUAUGGAUUUGUGAAUGAAUAUGAAAAUUUCGUAGAUUAUCAUAUUUUCCUGCUUCAAGACAUCAAUGUAAAUCAGGAAUUAAAACAUGGAUUUCUUCUGAUGAAUGAUAUAAAGUUAAUGUACAUUAACAAAUUGGUUGUUGUCCAACAACUUUGAGGCUUAUUUCAAAAUACAUGUACUAAUAUCGAAAGGCAGUACAUGUACAUGUAAUUUGCUGUCUCCCAUGGAAUAUGUGUUAAACACUGUCAUGAUACUUGAUAAGGAAGAUUUUAAAAGAUGUUAUAUAUAAAUCAACUUCCAUGUUUUUUUACUACUAGAUUUCAUUAAAUACAUUAAAAUUUGUAAGUGCAGCAUUUGCAACAAUGUCAAAAAUGUAUCAAUAAAGUCAUUUUAUAUCAUGAAAACUCUUCCAUUUUCUUUUGUUUGCUUAAUAAAGUUGAAGUAAAAGC